GAGCCGGUACUGGAGGGAGAGAGAAAGAGAACUGUGCUGUUCCAAGCAGCUGGAAUAAGGACUGGGGGAGACUUUAUGGCAGAGAACCACACACAGGACCCCCACUGUGCUUGGACAUGCGCUAGACAGACUGCUGAUCUCUCAGACCAAGGCAUGGAAAUGCGACGGCAGAGAAAGCUCCUCUAACUGCAGAAGGAGGGAGGAGAAUGCGGUGGUGCAGGAAUGACACAGCCUGUCUAUCAGCAGCUACCAGGGGACCCCCUCCCCAGCACCGUGAUCGCUUCCACAAGCCAGCAGGACCCCUCUCCCAGCAGCAGCCGUCGCUACGGCACAGGGAAAGUCUGAUUUGGAACCUGCGUGUGCUGGCGUAAUUCAGGGGUGCUUUGAAAUCAGCACGACUCAACUGAGGUCAGAACCAAACCGUGGAUGUCUUCCAUUAACAUGGGAAUGCUGUCCCCCCAGCUCUGGGAAAACCCUUGCCCGCCAGCCUGGCCAUCUACACGUUUAGUCAGGAGAUGCCAUCUGCUAGUUAGGUUACCAUGGGCUGGAUUCUAAUCUCAUAUCCAUGCUGCGGGAA